GCAAACUUGGUCAUUUAGAGGAAGUAAAAGUCAUAACAAGGUUUCCGUAGGUGAACCUGCGGAAGGAUCAUUAAAAGUGUUUUGCUGCGGUGCACCCUUCGGGGAUGUACCGCCAGAACCCCACCCUUGAUUACUAUACCGUCCGUUGCUUCGGCGGGGGCCCGCCCCCCGGGGAUGCGCGCCCGCCGGAGGAUCAUGUGAACUCUUUGGAAUAUUGGCCGUCUGAGUGAUUUUUGAAUCGUUAAAACUUUCAACAAUGGAUCUCUUGGUUCCGGCAUCGAUGAAGAACGCAGC
rnacentral:misc_RNA from 1 species